rnacentral:rRNA from 1 species
UACGUAGGGGGCGAGCGUUGUCCGGAGUUACUGGGCGUAAAGCGCACGCAGGCGGUCUGCUAAGUUUGGAGUGACAGUUGGUGGCUUAACUGCCAAAGUGCUUCGAAAACUGACAGACUUGAGGGCUUCAGAGGGACACGGAAUUCCGGGUGGAGUGGCGAAAUGCGUAGAGAUCCGGAGGAACACCAAAGGCGAAGGCAGUGUCCUGGGGAGUACCUGACGCUCAGGUGCGAAAGCCAGGGGAGCGAACGGG